rfam:Erinaceus europaeus unplaced genomic scaffold scaffold00166, whole genome shotgun sequence
UUCUCAGGCUACCUAAGUGAAUGGUGGAAUGGGUUGCCGACUCUCAGCAAGAAUGGCUACAGGGAAUUUUUUCAGAUAUGCCCUAAGGAGUCUUCCCAGGGUGGAACAAAUACCUUAGAGUU